AGAGUUUGAUCCUGGCUCAGAGUGAACGCUGGCGGCGUAGAUUAGGCAUGCAAGUCGAGCGAUGAUUUUUUAGAAGGGACUCAUCCCCUGCAAAGGGGACUGUCCCUAAAGAAAAAUCAUAGCGGCAGACUGGCGAGGAACGCGUGAGUAAUUUACCUCUAAGACGGGGAUAGCUGAGCGAAAGCCCAGGUAAUACCCGAUGUGUCCCUUGGCACGCAAGUGCCGAGGGGUAAAGGCGGCUGAUAACAGUUGUUGCUUAGAGUUGAGCUCGCGUCCUAUCAGCUAGUUGGUAGGGUAAUGGCCUACCAAGGCGAUUGACGGGUAGCUGGCCUGAGAGGGUGGUCAGCCGCACGGGGACUGAGACACUGCCCCGACUCCUACGGGAGGCUGCAGUCGAGAAUAUUUAGCAAUGGGCGAAAGCCUGACUAUGUGACGCCGCGUGAGGGAUGAAGGAUUUCGGUUCGUAAACCUCUUUCAAUGGGAAAGAAACCUCUAGUUAAUCGCUAGAGCUGACGGUACCCAGAGAAGAAGCCACGGCUAACUCCGUGCCAGCAGCCGCGGUAAUACGGGGGUGGCGAGCGUUACUCGGAUUUAUUGGGUGUAAAGGGCAGGUAGGUGGCUAUGUAAGUUGGAGGUGAAAUCCUGCGGCUCAACCGCAGAACUGCCUUCAAAACUGCAUAGCUUGAGGCCAAAAGAGGAGAGCGGAAUUCCCGGUGUAAGGGUGAAAUCUGUAGAUAUCGGGAGGAACACCAGUGGCGAAGGCGGCUCUCUGGUUUGGUCCUGAUACUCAGCUGCGAAAGCUAGGGGAGCAAACAGGAUUAGAUACCCUGGUAGUCC
rnacentral:rRNA from 1 species